rnacentral:rRNA from 1 species
CUACGGGAGGCAGCAGUGGGGAAUUUUGGACAAUGGGGGCAACCCUGAUCCAGCCAUGCCGCGUGAGUGAAGAAGGCCUUCGGGUUGUAAAGCUCUUUCGGCCGGGAAGAAAUCGCACAGGCUAAUACCUUGUGUGGAUGACGGUACCGGAAUAAGAAGCACCGGCUAACUACGUGCCAGCAGCCGCGGUAAUACGUAGGGUGCGAGCGUUAAUCGGAAUUACUGGGCGUAAAGGGUGCGCAGGCGGUUUUGUAAGACAGGUGUGAAAUCCCCGGGCUUAACCUGGGAACUGCGCUUGUGACUGCAAGACUUGAGUGCGGCAGAGGGGGGUGGAAUUCCACGUGUAGCAGUGAAAUGCGUAGAGAUGUGGAGGAACACCGAUGGCGAAGGCAGCCCCCUGGGUUGACACUGACGCUGAGGCACGAAAGCGUGGGGAGCAAACAGGAUUAGAAACCCGUGUAGUCC